CAUCAACAGAUGAAUGGGAAGAAAGAAACCACGACCAGACAUCAACGGAUGAAUGGGAAGAAAGAAACCACGACCAGACAUCCACUGAUGAAUGGGAGAAAAGAAACCACGCCCUGACAUCAACGGAUGAAUGGGAAGAGAGAAACCACGACCAGACAUCCACGGAUGAAUGGGAAGAAAAACCACGACCAAACAUCAACUAAUGAAUGGGAAGAGAA
rnacentral:lncRNA from 1 species